AUUGAACGCUGGCAGCAGGCCUAACACAUGCAAGUCGAGCGGAUGAAGGGAGCUUGCUCCUGGAUUCAGCGGCGGACGGGUGAGUAAUGCCUAGGAAUCUGCCUGGUAGUGGGGGAUAACGUCCGGAAACGGGCGCUAAUACCGCAUACGUCCUGAGGGAGAAAGUGGGGGAUCUUCGGACCUCACGCUAUCAGAUGAGCCUAGGUCGGAUUAGCUAGUUGGUGGGGUAAAGGCCUACCAAGGCGACGAUCCGUAACUGGUCUGAGAGGAUGAUCAGUCACACUGGAACUGAGACACGGUCCAGACUCCUACGGGAGGCAGCAGUGGGGAAUAUUGGACAAUGGGCGAAAGCCUGAUCCAGCCAUGCCGCAUGUGUGAAGAAGGUCUUCGGAUUGUAAAGCACUUUAAGUUGGGAGGAAGGGCAGUAAGUUAAUACCUUGCUGUUUUGACGUUACCAACAGAAUAAGCACCGGCUAACUUCGUG
rnacentral:rRNA from 1 species